AGGGCACCACCAGGAGUGGAGCCUGCGGCUUAAUUUGACUCAACACGGGGAAACUCACCCGGCCCGGACACCGGAAGGAUUGACAGAUUGAUAGCUCUUUCUUGAUUCGGUGGAUGGUGGUGCAUGGCCGUUCUUAGUUGGUGGAGCGAUCUGUCUGGUUAAUUCCGAUAACGAACGAGACUCUAGCCUAUUAAAUAGACGUCGGGUUCUCUGCACUCGACGGUCUUCUUAGAGGGACAAGGUGCUUUUAGCACCGCGAAACAGAGCAAUAACAGGUCUGUGAUGCCCUUAGAUGUCCGGGGCUGCACGCGCGCUACACUGAAGGAAUCAGCGUGCUAAAACCAUUGUCGAAAGGCAUUGGUAAACCCCUCAAAAUCCUACGUGAUUGGGAUCGGGAAUUGCAAUUAUUUCCCUUGAACGAGGAAUUCCCAGUAAGUGUGGGUCAUAAGCUCGCGUUGAUUACGUCCCUGCCCUUUGUACACACCGCCCGUCGCUGCCCGGGACUGAGCCGUUUCGAGA
rnacentral:rRNA from 1 species